GUGGGGAAUCUUGCGCAAUGGGCGAAAGCCUGACGCAGCAACGCCGCGUGGGGGAUGAAGGCUCUCGGGUUGUAAACCCCUUUCAGCAGGGACGAAUCAAGACGGUACCUGCAGAAGAAGCCCCGGCUAACUACGUGCCAGCAGCCGCGGUAACACGUAGGGGGCAAGCGUUGUCCGGAUUUAUUGGGCGUAAAGAGCUCGUAGGUGGCUGAGUAAGUCGGAUGUCAAAUCCCCAGGCUCAACCUGGGAUCCCAUCCGAUACUGCUCUGGCUAGAGUCCGGUAGGGGAGCGUGGAAUUCCUGGUGUAGCGGUGAAAUGCGCAGAUAUCAGGAGGAACACCAGCGGCGAAGGCGGCGCUCUGGGCCGGUACUGACACUGAGGAGCGAAAGCGUGGGUAGCAAACAGGAUUAGAAACCCGGGUAGUCC
rnacentral:rRNA from 1 species